rnacentral:rRNA from 1 species
UACGAAGGGGGCUAGCGUUGCUCGGAAUCACUGGGCGUAAAGGGUGCGUAGGCGGGCCUUUAAGUCAGGGGGGAAAUCCUGGAGCUCAACUCCAGAACUGCCUUUGAUACUGAAGAUCUUGAGUUCGGGAGAGGUGAGUGGAACUGCGAGUGUAGAGGUGAAAUUCGUAGAUAUUCGCAAGAACACCAGUGGCGAAGGCGGCUCGCUGGCCCGAUACUGACGCUGAUGCACGAAAGCGUGGGGAGCAAACAGG